rnacentral:rRNA from 1 species
UACGAAGGGGGCUAGCGUUGCUCGGAAUCACUGGGCGUAAAGCGCAUGUAGGCGGAUCGUUAAGUCGGGGGUGAAAUCCUGGAGCUCAACUCCAGAACUGCCUUUGAUACUGGCGAUCUUGAGUCCGGGAGAGGUGAGUGGAACUCCGAGUGUAGAGGUGAAAUUCGUAGAUAUUCGGAAGAACACCAGUGGCGAAGGCGGCUCACUGGCCCGGUACUGACGCUGAGGUGCGAAAGCGUGGGGAGCAAACAGG